rnacentral:lncRNA from 1 species
AUGUUGCUUUGUUCUUCCACUUUAAUUGAAAGAAUGAAGAAUAGCUGCCAGUGGUCCUACAAAUUUGAAGAUUUGAAGCCCAUUACAGUGUUGAAGAUGGUUUUCUUCCCGUUGCCAUCAUUUCAAGUUAGGGUGGAUUUGACUCCGAGAGGCUCAGAGCUGUACGUAAGUGGGACCACUCUUUUUCCUUCUCUGGACCCUGUGGAUGUAUUUCAUGAUCAAAUAGCCUUGCAAGAAGCUAUGGGCCUGCGCACCCGGGGUUGGUGGGGAUCCAAAUGGACCAAGGAGGACAGAAGGCCGGUGACCUGGUUUUUUAAAUCACAGCUCCCGGUCUUUUACCCUCUAGCUUUCUUCCCCAGGCUUAGGGUCCUCUCCGUGCUUCUCUCCACAGAUCUAAGCCCACUCCUUUCCCAGCAUCCUUUCCUGCGGCUUCUUGUAAAAUGCACACGGGGACACACUCACACGGCAUCUUGUGUGUAUCCCUUCAUGUUAACCCUUUACUGCCUGACUUGUUUUUUUCCCUAUUUACUUUCUUUACAUCGUUCCAGCAUUUACCCCUGCAACUCGAUAAAGUGCCUCUUGAUUCGCCCUUGUCUCUUUUUGCCUUGUCCCUGCGUCCUGGGUGCCGUCCCUUCUCCCCCAUGGGACUGGACUCCACCCGUAGGAAGGGUAUCUCUUCCUGCCUCUGGAUUUUUCCUUCUGCUCCCUGAACAGGAGGUGCUCGUCCUGAACACACCAUCGGAUGAUCCUUCAAGUCAGUGAAUUAUUUCUGAAAUUCUGAUUUAAGAUCUUGCUCUAAAUCUGGAUGGGAAUCCAGCAUUUGUCAAGAGCACAUUUUUGUUUUCUUUUUUUUUUUUUUGCAGGGGACGGGGUGGGUUAAAUGAGAGCUGCAGCUGCUGGCCUACACCACAGCCUCAGCAACAUGGGGUCCAAGCUGCAUCUGCAACCAGUGCCACAGUUUGCCACAACACUGCGACCAGGAUCAAACCCAAAUCCUCGCAGACACUCUUUUGGGUUCUUAACCUGCUGAGCCACAAUAGGAACUCUAAGAACAAAAUUUUCUUGCUUCUGACAUUAUUAGCUCAGGGGUGACAGGAGAAGUGAGAGAGAGAAAGAGAAACAAAACAAAACCCAUGAUUCUGGAGAUGAGCACAAUUUCUUGGGCCAAUUAACUGAGACAGUUCACAUGUUUAUUAUGUUUAAACUAUUGGGUGAUUAAUUUAGGGAGUUUUAUAGGCAGUUUAAUACUCUACUAGAAUCAGACAUAAGCCAGUUUAUAUAAAAGAAGAAACAACCCUGAGAUAGCUCUACCUCUGAUGAUGACUAUGACAAAUGAAAGAUGGGACAUUAAAGAAUUUUCCAUAAAUUAUAUAGUUCAAAAUGUGGUAAAAAUAGGGAGUUCCUGUUGUGGCUCAGUGGAAAUGGAUCUGACUAGGAACCAUGAGGUUGUGGGUUCGAUCCCUGGCCUUGUGCAGUGGGUUAAGGAUCUGGCGUUGCCGUGAGCUGUGGAGGUUGCAGACCCGGCUCAGAUCCCGAGUUGCUGUGGCUGGGGCAUAGGCCGGCGGCUACAGCUCCAAUUCAACCCUUAGCCUGGGAACCUCCAUAUGCUGUGGGUAUGGCCCUAGAAAAGACAAAAAAAAAAAAAAAAGUUUCAUUGUUCACUCCCUUUUUAUCAGCAUAAUUGAUCAAGAAUUACCUGAGAUUAAAUACCAAGAGUAGUUAUUGGGUGCCUGGGAUUAGGUAUGGCAGGAGGGGCAAUGUG